rnacentral:rRNA from 1 species
UGCAGGAAGAAGGCGUUCUGCGUUGUAAACUGCUUUUGUACGGGAAGAAACCCCUCCUCGUGAGGAGGGCUGACGGUACCGUAAGAAUAAGGAUCGGCUAACUCCGUGCCAGCAGCCGCGGUAAUACGGAGGAUCCGAGCGUUAUCCGGAAUCAUUGGGUUUAAAGGGUCCGUAGGCGGCCUUGUAAGUCAGUGGUGAAAUCUCACGGCUCAACCGUGAAAUGGCCAUUGAUACUGCGGGGCUUGAAUUAUCGGGAAGCAGCUAGAAUAUGUAGUGUAGCGGUGAAAUGCUUAGAUAUUACAUGGAAUACCGAUUGCGAAGGCAGGCUGCUACCGGUGGAUUGACGCUGAUGGACGAAAGCGUGGGGAGCGAACGGGAUUAGAUACCCUGGUAGUCCACGCCGUAAACGA